rnacentral:rRNA from 1 species
AACGGCCGUACCAUGCUGAAUAUACCGGUUCUCGUUAGAUCACCGAAGUCAAGCAUCAUUGGGCGCGGUCAGUACUUGGGUGGGUGACCCCCUGGGAACACCGCGUGCC